rnacentral:tRNA from 1 species
GGGCGGAUAGAUCAGUUUGGCAUGAUCGCCACGUUGGCAUCGUGGAGGUCGCGGGUUCAAAUCCCGCUCCGUCCACCA